rnacentral:tRNA from 1 species
GAUUUUGUAGCUCAGCUGGUAGAGCAAUACACUUUUAAUGUAUGGGUCCCGGGUUCGAAUCCCGGCAAAAUCACCA